rnacentral:rRNA from 1 species
UACAGAGGUCCCGAGCGUUGUUCGGAUUCACUGGGCGUAAAGGGUGCGUAGGUGGCCUGAAAAAGUUUGAUGUGAAAGCUCAGGGCUUAACCCUGAAAUGGCAUUGAAUACUGUCGGGCUGGAGGUUUGGAGGGGGGACUGGAAUUCUUGGUGUAGCAGUGAAAUGCGUAGAUAUCAAGAGGAACACCAGUGGCGAAAGGCGAGUCCCUGGACAACACCUGACACUGAGGCACGAAAGCUAGGGGAGCAAACAGG